rnacentral:SRP_RNA from 1 species
UGGUGGGCUAGAUGGGGGCCAGGGGUCCCUUUUGCCGCAAAUCCCCUUUAGGCGGGUCGAAGCCCCGGUGCGUGGUUUGUUUUUCAUGCGUCCGUUGUCUUAGGCGUCGAAGCCUUCCCCAUCAGGAUGGUGGCUUUGUGCGAACCUGGUCAGGCCGGAAGGAGCAGCCAUAAGCGCUCUGCGCCAUGCUUGAAGGACCGGAGGUGGAGCUGAUGGCGAUGGCUCCGCAUGGGAGAUGGAUUGCAAUCCGGGAUGCCCACCA